UACGUAGGUGGCAAGCGUUGUCCGGAUUGACUGGGCGUAAAGGGCGUGCAGGCGGUUUGUUAAGUCUAGGGUGAAAGCUCCCGGCUCAACUGGGAGAGGUCCUUGGAUACUGGCGAACUUGAGGGAUGCAGAGGAAAGUGGAAUUCCCGGUGUAGUGGUGAUAUGCGUAGAUAUCGGGAGGAACACCAGUGGCGAAGGCGGCUUUCUGGGCAUUUCCUGACGCUGAGACGCGAAAGCGUGGGGAGCGAACCGG
rnacentral:rRNA from 1 species